AACGAACGCUGGCGGCAUGCCUAACACAUGCAAGUCGAACGAGACCUUCGGGUCUAGUGGCGCACGGGUGCGUAACGCGUGGGAACCUGCCCUUAGGUUCGGAAUAACUCCCCGAAAGGGGUGCUAAUACCGGAUAAUGUCUUCGGACCAAAGAUUUAUCGCCUUUGGAUGGGCCCGCGUUGGCUUAGCUAGUUGGUAGGGUAAAAGCCUACCAAGGCGACGAUCCAUAGCUGGUCUGAGAGGAUGAUCAGCCACACUGGGCCUGAGACGCGGCCCAGACUCCUACGGAAGGCAGCAGUGGGUAAUAUAGGAAAAUGGGCGAAAGCCUGAACCAGCAAUGCCGCGUGAGUGAUGAAGGCCUUAGGGUUGUAAAGCUCUUUUACCCGGGAUGAUAAUGACAGUACCGGGAGAAUAAGCUCCGGCUAACUCCGUG
rnacentral:rRNA from 1 species